UACGUAGGGGGCAAGCGUUGUCCGGAUUUAUUGGGCGUAAAGAGCGUGUAGGCGGUUUUGUAGGUCCGUUGUGAAAACUCGAGGCUCAACCUCGAGACGCCGAUGGAAACCAUCAGACUAGAGUCCGGAAGAGGAGAGUGGAAUUCCUGGUGUAGCGGUGAAAUGCGCAGAUAUCAGGAAGAACACCCGUGGCUAAGGCGGCUCUCUAGUACGGUACUGACGCUGAGACGCGAAAGCGUGGGGAGCGAACAGG
rnacentral:rRNA from 1 species